rnacentral:rRNA from 1 species
AUACGGAGGGUGCAAGCGUUGUCCGGAUUUAUUGGGUUUAAAGGGUGCGUAGGUGGCGUGUUAAGUCAGUGGUGAAAGCCUGCAGCUCGACUGUAGAGGUGCCAUUGAUACUGACAUGCUUGAGUAUGGACGAGGUAGGCGGAAUUUGUGGUGUAGCGGUGAAAUGCAUAGAUACCAAAAAGAACACCGAUAGCGAAGGCAGCUUACUGGACCAUAACUGACACUGAGGCACGAAAGUGUGGGUAGCGAACAGGAUUAGAUACCCUUGUAGUCC